CACGUAGGGCGCGAGCGUUGUCCGGAAUUAUUGGGCGUAAAGAGCUCGUAGGCGGCCUGUUGCGUCCGCUGUGAAAGCCCGGGGCUUAACCCCGGGUCUGCAGUGGAUACGGGCAGGCUAGAGGUAGGUAGGGGAGAAUGGAAUUCCCGGUGUAGCGGUGAAAUGCGCAGAUAUCAGGAGGAACACCGGUGGCGAAGGCGGGUCUCUGGGCCGAUAUUGACGCUGAGGAGCGAAAGCGUGGGGAGUAAACAGG
rnacentral:rRNA from 1 species